AGAGUUUGUUCCGGGCUCAGAUUGAACGCUGGCGGCAGGCUUAACACAUGCAAGUCGAGCGGCAGCGGAAAGAAGCUUGCUUCUUUGCCGGCGAGCGGCGGACGGGUGAGUAAUGUCUGGGGAUCUGCCCGAUGGAGGGGGAUAACUACUGGAAACGGUAGCUAAUACCGCAUAAUGUCGCAAGACCAAAGUGGGGGACCUUCGGGCCUCACACCAUCGGAUGAACCCAGAUGGGAUUAGCUAGUAGGUGGGGUAAUGGCUCACCUAGGCGACGAUCCCUAGCUGGUCUGAGAGGAUGACCAGCCACACUGGAACUGAGACACGGUCCAGACUCCUACGGGAGGCAGCAGUGGGGAAUAUUGCACAAUAGGGGAAACCCUGAUGCAGCCAUGCCGCGUGUGUGAAGAAGGCCUUCGGGUUGUAAAGCACUUUCAGCGGGGAGGAAGGCAAUGGCGUUAAUAGUGUCAUUGAUUGACGUUACCCGCAGAAGAAGCACCGGCUAACUCCGUGCCAGCAGCCGCGGUAAUACGGAGGGUGCGAGCGUUAAUCGGAAUUACUGGGCGUAAAGCGUACGCAGGCGGUCUGUUAAGUCAGAUGUGAAAUCCCCGGGCUUAACCUGGGAACUGCAUUUGAAACUGGCAGGCUAGAGUCUCGUAGAGGGGGGUAGAAUUCCAGGUGUAGCGGUGAAAUGCGUAGAGAUCUGGAGGAAUACCGGUGGCGAAGGCGGCCCCCUGGACGAAGACUGACGCUCAGGUACGAAAGCGUGGGGAGCAAACAGGAUUAGAUACCCUGGUAGUCCACGCUGUAAACGAUGUCGAUUUGAAGGUUGUGGUCUUGAGCCGUGGCUUUCGGAGCUAACGCGUUAAAUCGACCGCCUGGGGAGUACGGGCCGCAAGGUUAAAACUCAAAUGAAUUGACGGGGGCCCGCACAAGCGGUG
rnacentral:rRNA from 1 species